UCUUUGAUGGUCUAGUGCUUAUAAUUUAGCGCUUUCACUGCUGUGGCCCAGGUUCGAUUCCCAGUCAGGGAA
rnacentral:tRNA from 1 species